rnacentral:rRNA from 1 species
GACAGAGGGUGCAAACGUUGUUCGGAAUUACUGGGCGUAAAGCGAGUGUAGGCGGUCUGUAAAGUCGGGUGUGAAAGCCCCGGGCUCAACCCGGGAAGUGCACUCGAAACUCACAGGCUAGAGUAUCGGAGAGGUUGGUGGAAUUCUCGGUGUAGAGGUGAAAUGCGUAGAUAUCUGGAGGAACACCGGUGGCGAAGGCGGCAUCCUGGACCGGCAUUGACGCUGAGGCGCGAAAGCUAGGGGAGCAAACGGG